CACAAAACCAAACUCUUAUGGCAAUUUAGGGAUUCUUUUGGAGAUUGGAGAGUGGUACCUGAGAGCAGACUUGAUAAGGUUUCUUUGAGCAUUGAUUUUGAGUGAUUUGAGGGUGUAUUGAUUUUGUAAGAGCUUUGCAAAGUCAGGGUUUGUUUUGGAUGACUCUAGAUUUAUAAAAUAAAAUAGGUGAUACUUUUUGGAGAAUUUCAUAAGUUUGGUAGUAGAUCUAAUUUGAAAGAUUUGUGAAUAUA
rnacentral:lncRNA from 1 species